rnacentral:ncRNA from 2 species
UUACAGAUUAAUAUUUGCGGUUUACAAUAUUUCAGUAAAAAGAUCCAGUUUAUGGAUCGAUAGGGAAUCCGGUUCAAGCCGGAGCUGUCCCCGCAACUGUAAUAGAGAAGACCGGUAAUUAAAGUCACUGUUUAAUUUUAAACGGGAAGACAUACCGGGAAUAGCUCUAAAGCCAGGAGACCUGCCGUAAAUAUCCUGAAAAA